ACCAGCGAUGGACUCUGUGCUUGUUUUGACUCAACCUUCGCUGUCACACGCAACAAACAGGGAACUGGAACGUGGGACUCCAGAGUCAGCCGCUGCUGCGGGUCAAACAAGGCUCUGCCCCAGAAGUAACCCGGUAGCAGAUUGUCAAAAGCAGCGCGAGCUUUAAGGAUUCAGUCCUUUCACUCACACACGUACUUCAAGCCAGAGUCAAGGUAGCUUUUCUGAUCCAUCCAGGUGAAGCGAGGAAGGCAUCUCUCCGCCUCCGUCUCCCUGUCUGCUCUGCUGCAUCCUUGGCGACGCUUUAAAUGAAGGCCGGUAUUGUCUGUGUGUGUGUGUGUGUGUGUGUGUGUGUGUGUGUGUGUGUGUGUGUGUGUGUGUGUGUGUGUGUGUGUGUGUGUGUAGGCACAUUGACUUGCAAUGACAAGCUAACUGGAGGGUAACUAACGGGACUAAAUGUGUAGGAAGAGCAAAAGAGAUAAAGGGGGGGAAGGAUUUUUGCUUACACAGUGCAAAUAGCUGGUGUCAUUUGCCUACAGGAGGUGAGCAGAGAGUGAGAGGAGACUUAUCAGGAGAGUUGGAAUGAGGAGGAACAAAAGAAAGGAGCUGGCAGAUGAGGAGAGGAAGAGCAGAGACACGGCGAGGACGAGCGACGGUAACACUUCCAACGGAUUCGGAGGAAAUCCAUCAUUUACAAAGCGCUGCUUCCACAUUAGCGGGUUUGGAAACGAUUACAAAUGCUUUAUGUUUUAAUAAAU